rnacentral:lncRNA from 1 species
UUUCUCCAUCGUUCAAUAGAUUACCAAACACAAAUGUGAAGAUGAGUUAUACUAUAUAGUUCACCCACCUUUCUCCUAUUUAUUACUUCUUCCCCUUCUUCUCCUCCUCACGCGUCUCUCUCUAUAUAACUCAAAAAAUAUCAUCUUCUCUUUCUCACUUUUUCAAGAUAUUUUCAAGAACAUAAAGAAGAAGAAACUGAUGAAUCAAGAAAAGCCCACUUCUUGUUGUUGUGUUCUUGAUGCUUCCACUUAUGUUGGUUUCUGGAUUCUCAAGAGAUUGCUCACUAAAGGUUACUCUGUUCACGCAGCUAUCCGUAAAAAC